CCCUCCUCCGCAGCUUCGCUCUCGUGGAGUCCCUCCAGCGCCGCCUCCUCCGCCUCUCAUCCAGGACCUCCUCCUUACCCCGUCUUCUCGACUUCGUCGACUGCGUGGACUGCCUCCGCGAGACCAUCGCCGCCGUGACGGCCGGGUUUUGAGAGUUAGAAGAUGCAAGGAUGUUCUUCUACAGUUUUCUAUUAUGAAAGUGGCUUCAAGAAUUAUGAUUACAUUUACUUUUGAAUGCACAAAGAUGCAUGUUUGUUAUAAUGUUAAUGGGACAAUGUAAUUUGUAUUUUAUCUAAAUAUGUAAUUGUCUAAGUUUGUAGUUUUUAUUGUUGGGUUGUAAUUUUCAGCUGGACAAUAGUCUUUCAUACAAUUUAUUUUUUUCUA